ncrna:unclassified sequences DTF3800-X RNA
GGGCGGUUAAACGUCGCGCGACGGCCCGCCGAAAGGAUGAGCCCGCCGGACGGCGGCCGGGAACGAGUAGGCGGGUGCCGCCC